UACGUAGGGGGCUAGCGUUGUCCGGAUUUAUUGGGCGUAAAGAGCGUGUAGGCGGCCAGGUAGGUCUGGUGUGAAAACUCGAGGCUUAACCUCGAGAUGUCAUCGGAAACCAUCUGGCUAGAGUCCGGAAGAGGAGAGUGGAAUUCCUGGUGUAGCGGUGAAAUGCGCAGAUAUCAGGAAGAACACCAAUGGCGAAAGCAGCUCUCUGGGACGGUACUGACGCUGAGGCACGAAGGCCAGGGGAGCAAACGGG
rnacentral:rRNA from 1 species